UACGGGGGGAGCAAGCGUCGUUCGGAUUUACUGGGCGUAAAGGGCGCGUAGGCGGUCGUGACAAGUCACUUGUGAAAUCUCCGGGCUUAACUCGGAACGGUCAAGUGAUACUGUCGGACUAGAGUACAGAAGGGGCAACUGGAAUUCUCGGUGUAGCGGUGAAAUGCGUAGAUAUCGAGAGGAACACCUGCGGCGAAGGCGGGUUGCUGGGCUGAUACUGACGCUGAGGCGCGAAAGCGUGGGGAGCGAACAGG
rnacentral:rRNA from 1 species